rnacentral:rRNA from 1 species
AGAACGAACGCUGGCGGCAUGCCUAACACAUGCAAGUCGAACGAGACCUUCGGGUCUAGUGGCGCACGGGUGCGUAACGCGUGGGAAUCUGCCCUUAGGUACGGAAUAACAGUGAGAAAUUACUGCUAAUACCGUAUGAUGUCUUCGGACCAAAGAUUUAUCGCCUAGGGAUGAGCCCGCGUUGGAUUAGCUAGUUGGUGGGGUAAAGGCCUACCAAGGCGACGAUCCAUAGCUGGUCUGAGAGGAUGAUCAGCCACACUGGGACUGAGACACGGCCCAGACUCCUACGGGAGGCAGCAGUGGGGAAUAUUGGACAAUGGGCGAAAGGCCUGAUCCAGCAAUGCCGCGUGAGUGAAGAAGGCCUUAGGGUGUAAAGCUCUUUUACCGGGAAGAUAAUGACUGUACCGGGAGAAUAAGCCCGGCUAACUCCGCGCCAGCAGCCGC